rnacentral:rRNA from 1 species
GAUGAACGCUGGCGGCGUGCCUAAUACAUGCAAGUCGAGCGAACGGACGAGAAGCUUGCUUCUCUGAUGUUAGCGGCGGACGGGUGAGUAACACGUGGAUAACCUACCUAUAAGACUGGGAUAACUUCGGGAAACCGGAGCUAAUACCGGAUGAUAUAUUGAACCGCAUGGUUCAAAAGUGAAAGACGGUUUUGCUGUCACUUAUAGAUGGAUCCGCGCUGCAUUAGCUAGUUGGUAAGGUAACGGCUUACCAAGGCAACGAUGCAUAGCCGACCUGAGAGGGUGAUCGGCCACACUGGAACUGAGACACGGUCCAGACUCCUACGGGAGGCAGCAGUAGGGAAUCUUCCGCAAUGGGCGAAAGCCUGACGGAGCAACGCCGCGUGAGUGAUGAAGGUCUUCGGAUCGUAAAACUCUGUUAUUAGGGAAGAACAUAUGUGUAAGUAACUAUGCACAUCUUGACGGUACCUAAUCAGAAAGCCACGGCUAACUACGUG